AAUAAUUUUAUACGAGAAAAUGGAGAAAUGAAAAUAGUAUUUGCUACCAACUUUUGAGGCUUUUAACAUUUUGGAACUGGUCUACGGUGGACCUGGUCUAGAGAAUAACUAGUCUAUUCAUUGAAUCCGUAGAAUCGUGGGCAUGUUUAAUUUAUGGCUAAAUUACAUAAAAUUUCAUUGUCAAAAUUCGAUUUUUUAUUUUUCCUUCUUGUUAUUUAAAACUCUACAUUUUACCCUUCUAUAAAAUAAAAAAUAUUCACUUCGCUCCCUACUGUUAGUAAUCCGUUAGGGUUCCGUUCAUAAAAUAUUAUUAUAUAUUUUUUAAUGUAAAAAAUGCCCUCAGUCUUCUCUCUUGUGAACAUGAUGAAGAGCAAAAUGAUAAGGGGCAAAAUGGUCAUUUUUCCAUCACAGUUCAUACCGUAUCCUCUGUGAACAUUUUUUAUUUUACAAAGAUGCAAAGUGUAGGUUUUUAAAUAAGAGUGGGAGAAGUGAAAAAUCAAAUUUUGACAUAAAGAUUUCCUAUAAUUUCGCCUUAAUUUAUAUAUUACCUAAAAUUACGCAAAUACCCUU
rnacentral:lncRNA from 1 species